rnacentral:rRNA from 1 species
AGUGGGGAAUAUUGCACAAUGGGGGAAACCCUGAUGCAGCCAUGCCGCGUGUGUGAAGAAGGCUCUAGGGUUGUAAAGCACUUUCAGCUGUGAGGAAAGGUGUGUAGUUAAUACCUGCAUACUGUGACGUUAACAGCAGAAGAAGCACCGGCUAACUCCGUGCCAGCAGCCGCGGUAAUACGGAGGGUGCAAGCGUUAAUCGGAAUUACUGGGCGUAAAGCGCGCGUAGGCGGUUACAUAAGUUGGAGGUGAAAUCCCCGGGCUCAACCUGGGAACUGCUUUCAAAACUGUGUGACUUGAGUACAGCAGAGGAUAGUGGAAUUUCUAGUGUAGCGGUGAAAUGCGUAGAUAUUAGAAGGAACACCAGUGGCGAAGGCGACUGUCUGGGCUGAUACUGACGCUGAGGUGCGAAAGCGUGGGGAGCAAA